rnacentral:other from 1 species
UAUUUCCUGGGGUGUUCGAGCCGCCGGAUAUUUUGAACCUACAUCAUUUUGAAUGGGAUUCUUAUAUCGCUGCUUGGAUGUCACGCCUCCUGUCGCAGGACAGUUAGUGGACGGCAAAAGAGUAGUUGCGGAGGCCCACCUGGCUUAUUGCUAGGACUCAAAAUUCCGGAAACGGCACUCUGGGAAAAAA